UCGGAGUCCGUUUGACCCCCUAAAUAAUUCGCCGAAGUUGGGACUUCGACACAGUUUUUCCGUAGUGCCGGAAAAAUUUGUUAAAAUCCGAUUCUUCCUCUUUUAACCACCUCUACAACCCUUAUCCGACCCCUCUAGACUAUAUCCACCCUUUGUAUAGCCUAAUGUCAUCAAAAGACUAGAUAGGGACGGAUAUUUACCUUUUUCUUUUUGGAAAUCGAGGUCUUUGCGUAGAGGGAAAGGAGAUCUACGUUUUUCCCUUCAGCUGGAAGUGCAAUCGGGACUCCCUUUCCUCCUCGAAUUCCUUUCCUCUUCUUCUUUCUUCUUCUUCUUCUUCUCUUUUUCCUUCUUUCUUUCCUCUCUGCGUCUCUGACUCUCCCUCUCUGUUACUCUCUCUCAGUUUCCAUCCCAACGCCAGCCAACCAACUCAAAACCCUCCAAUUAAGUCACAUCAAAACACUAUUUACCCUUUGUUUAAUAUUAUUAAAUUCCCAUUUUGCCCCUAACACUUCAACAUAUCUACAACUAUGCCAUUAUCUUUUGAUUCUUUCCUAUUUUACCCCUUAUAUUAAUUGAAAAGGACUAUUCUAUCCCUUUUUAUAUAAAAAAAAAUAUUUUGGGGUUAUUACA
rnacentral:lncRNA from 1 species